rnacentral:rRNA from 1 species
GAUAAACGCUGGCGGCGUGCCUAAUACAUGCAAGUCGAGCGAACGGACGAGAAGCUUGCUUCUCUGAUGUUAGCGGCGGACGGGUGAGUAACACGUGGAUAACCUACCUAUAAGACUGGGAUAACUUCGGGAAACCGGAGCUAAUACCGGAUAAUAUUUUGAACCGCAUGGUUCAAAAGUGAAAGACGGUCUUGCUGUCACUUAUAGAUGGAUCCGCGCUGCAUUAGCUAGUUGGUAAGGUAACGGCUUACCAAGGCAACGAUGCAUAGCCGACCUGAGAGGGUGAUCGGCCACACUGGAACUGAGACACGGUCCAGACUCCUACGGGAGGCAGCAGUAGGGAAUCUUCCGCAAUGGGCGAAAGCCUGACGGAGCAACGCCGCGUGAGUGAUGAAGGUCUUCGGAUCGUAAAACUCUGUUAUUAGGGAAGAACAUAUGUGUAAGUAACUGUGCACAUCUUGACGGUACCUAAUCAGAGAGCCACGGCUAACUACGUGCCAGCAGCCGCGGUAAUACGUAGGUGGCAAGCGUUAUCCGGAAUUAUUGGGCGUAAAGCGCGCGUAGGCGGUUUUUUAAGUCUGAUGUGAAAGCCCACGGCUCAACCGUGGAGGGUCAUUGGAAACUGGAAAACUUGAGUGCAGAAGAGGAAAGUGGAAUUCCAUGUGUAGCGGUGAAAUGCGCAGAGAUAUGGAGGAACACCAGUGGCGAAGGCGACUUUCUGGUCUGUAACUGACGCUGAUGUGCGAAAGCGUGGGGAUCAAACAGGAUUAGAUACCCUGGUAGUCCACGCCGUAAACGAUGAGUGCUAAGUGUUAGGGGGUUUCCGCCCCUUAGUGCUGCAGCUAACGCAUUAAGCACUCCGCCUGGGGAGUACGACCGCAAGGUUGAAACUCAAAGGAAUUGACGGGGACCCGCACAAGCGGUGGAGCAUGUGGUUUAAUUCGAAGCAACGCGAAGAACCUUACCAAAUCUUGACAUCCUUUGACAACUCUAGAGAUAGAGCCUUCCCCUUCGGGGGACAAAGUGACAGGUGGUGCAUGGUUGUCGUCAGCUCGUGUCGUGAGAUGUUGGGUUAAGUCCCGCAACGAGCGCAACCCUUAAGCUUAGUUGCCAUCAUUAAGUUGGGCACUCUAAGUUGACUGCCGGUGACAAACCGGAGGAAGGUGGGGAUGACGUCAAAUCAUCAUGCCCCUUACGAUUUGGGCUACACACGUGCUACAAUGGACAAUACAAAGGGCAGCGAAACCGCGAGGUCAAGCAAAUCCCAUAAAGUUGUUCUCAGUUCGGAUUGUAGUCUGCAACUCGACUACAUGAAGCUGGAAUCGCUAGUAAUCGUAGAUCAGCAUGCUACGGUGAAUACGUUCCCGGGUCU